rnacentral:rRNA from 1 species
UACGUAGGGGGCGAGCGUUGUCCGGAAUCAUUGGGCGUAAAGCGCGUGUAGGCGGCCCGGUAAGUCCGCUGUGAAAGUCCAGGGCUCAACCCUGGGAUGCCGGUGGAUACUGUCGGGCUCGAGUCCGGAAGAGGCGAGUGGAAUUCCUGGUGUAGCGGUGAAAUGCGCAGAUAUCAGGAGGAACACCAAUGGCGAAGGCAGCUCGCUGGGACGUGACUGACGCUGAGGCGCGAAAGCCAGGGGAGCAAACGGG